rnacentral:rRNA from 1 species
AUGCCUCCUCACGUAGAGCAGCUUGGCGGGGAUUGGGAUGGCUCCAUCGUCCAUAACGACCACAUCGACUUCCUCCGCGACACCCGACGUCUGCCCAGCGCGGACAAAGUGGAGGUCCGCCUUGCGCCGGAGAAGGAAGUCAGGCCGGCGCCGCGGGAGGGCGAGCGGGUGGUCUUCCGCUCGCACUUCCUGCGCGGCUUCGGCCUGCCAGUGAGCGCCUUCUUCCGCUCCUGGCUGGAAUUCUAUCAGCUCCAGCCGCACCACCUCACCCCCAACGCGGUGGUGCUGCUGUCGGCCUUCGUCACCCUGUGCGAGGGCUAUCUUGGCGUCCUCCCCACCCUCGAGCUCUGGGGGGAGUUCUUCCAGUCAAAGCUGGGCACGCGCGUGCGGGGCGUGCCGGCUCAGACCGGCGCCUUCAUCGCGUCGCGGAGAUCAGGCGCCGACAACCCCUUCCCCGUCAUCACGCUGAUCCAAUCGGUGAAGAAGUGGCAGAAGUCAUACUUCUACGUGCGGAGUAUCGCUCCCCGGGGCGACUACCUCAACCUGCCGGCCUACGUAGCCGGCCCACCGGCGGGCAGGCUGCCCGAGUGGUCCUUCCGGGCCGUGACGCUGUCACAGGGAGGAAACGCCGCCAUCGCCCGCCUGCGGGUGAUGGUCCAGUCGGAGGGCCUGACGGGGCCCGACCUCCUGGCCGCGUUCGUCACGCGCCGGGUCCUUCCGCUCCAGAGCCGGCCUCAUCUGAUCUGUCAGAUGAGCGGCCAGCUCGAUCCGAGCCGGAUGUGCACCAUGGAGAUGCCGCAGCCCGACGCCGCCGACAUGGUGAAUUACCUCGCCAACUGCCAGCUUUCCGAAGACUGGCAAUUCGGCAAGGAGCCAUACAGCCGCGCCAAUCCUCCGCCUACGGUACGCUCCCCUCGUCUCUUUUUCUCUCUCUCCCUCAGCUUUGUCGCCGAGUUCCUCUGGGCUGACAUUAACUCAGUCGGCUUGCUCUUUUGA